rnacentral:rRNA from 1 species
GUGAGGAAUAUUGGUCAAUGGGCGAGAGCCUGAACCAGUCAAGUCGCGUGAAGGAAGAAGGAUCUAUGGUUCGUAAACUUCUUUUGCAGGGGAAUAAAGUGCAGGACGUGUCCUGUUUUGUAUGUACCCUGAGAAUAAGGAUCGGCUAACUCCGUGCCAGCAGCCGCGGUAAUACGGAGGAUCCGAGCGUUAUCCGGAUUUAUUGGGUUUAAAGGGUGCGUAGGUGGGUUGAUAAGUCAGCGGUGAAAGUUUGCAGCUUAACUGUAAAAAUGCCGUUGAAACUGUCGGACUUGAGUGUAAAUGAGGUAGGCGGAAUGCGUGGUGUAGCGGUGAAAUGCAUAGAUAUCACGCAGAACUCCGAUUGCGAAGGCAGCUUACUAAGCUACAACUGACACUGAAGCACGAAAGCGUGGGGAUCAAACAGGAUUAGAAACCCGAGUAGUCC